UGUAAAAAGUCCCCAGUGUACCUUCAACUGCACUUUGUCUGCUGCAGUUCAAUGCAGUGAGCCUGCUGCAUGCCUCAGGUCAUUACCAUUUUUGUUGUUGUCCUUGGGGACCUCAUUGCUCUCUUUUCCUUACAAACGUUUAGCAGUAGGAUUUCAACAUGAAUGCUCAACGAUUAGGCUUGUUUUUCUCACUACAUCUUGGAAAGGAAAGAAAGAAGGAAGCUAUUCCUCUUCCACAAGUUUAAAAAUCAGCUAGGAAUCUGCAUAUAUGUAAAUUUCAGUAAAGCUGAGCAUGGAAAGCAAAUUACAGGCUCCAAACGUUACUGGGUCAAUGAUGCUGUAGACAACCAUGGAGGCUACCCAAAGGGAUGUGUUUGUCUUUGCACUGGGAUAUACUAGAUUUGGCUGUUAGUUUCAGCAACAGGCUCCCCUGCCUGAAAAGAAUCCUCUUCCUGCAUAUCUUUCCGUGUUGUGUCUCAGAUUUUGAAGAGCGAGUGUCAAAAAAACAGUGUCCCUUUGUACUGGGUACUGAAAUUCAUUCCAGUGGAGCUGGCAAGAGAAAAUUACAGUUGGAGGAAACUGGAAAACAAAGCACCACAAAAGCAAUCCAACACAUGCAGCAGAGGAACCUGAAGUCUGUUUGCUCUAUGAAUUUCAAAUGUGGCAACACUGACAGUGUUAAGCAGGGUUUAACACCUCUGGUGACCUUGCAUACACACAUGCAGAUGCCUACCAUGAGAACAUGCAGACUGCAGUUACCCAGUCCAUUCCUUCAGCCAUCCUCCCUCGGGACACACAAGGGAGUGCUUCACAACCACAGAACCUUUCACACAUAAUCCUACACGUUCCAUAGAUCCAACAUGCACACACACGCCAACUCCCUUCUCACCAAAGCAAGUACAGCACUCAAGCCACAAGAGCUCUAAGCAACGUGAUGAUAGUGCUGGCAUGAGCGACCUCCAGCCAACAGACAGCUUGGGGGGAUUAACAGUGGGUUGCCUUUCUUCCCCAGUUGACUGUAUAUGAUCCAAGGACAUCUGCAGCAGAGAAGAGCUACUGUUUGUGCUUGCAAGGAAUUACAAACAUUCUCUAGUUCUAGAAGAAUUUGCAAAAAAUUGGCACGUAAAGUACCACCUCAUUUCUGAUACACCAGCUUCCAGACUAAUGCCUCCUUCAGGGCUAAAAUGACAACUGCUUCUGGCAUAUACUGACAGAGUCCAACUGAUGUAAUUAAUGCUAGUCAGCACGCCUUAUGGAAUAAACAUUUCAUUUCAAUGAGAUUACCAUGUUGACUUGAUAUACUUUAAUUUUCCAAGGUGUUUUACCUUACAGUCUGUUGUAAGAUCUUGCAUUAUGGAAGUUUAAGAGGAGAGACGUGGUUUGCAUAAACACUCUCUCUGGUGACAGGUCCUCCAAGUUCUGUGGUUGCUAAUGACAUCAUUAGCAUCAAAUAUGUGGGUCUGUUUUACCAACACCUCCAGAUACAAUCCUUGCUGCAAUAUUGGUUUGUUUGAC